ACUCAAAUGAAUUGACGGGGGCCCGCACAAGCAGCGGAGCGUGUGGUUUAAUUCGAGGCUACACGAAGAACCUUACCUGGCGUUGACAUGUGGUUAGUAGGGGAGCGAAAGCCGACCGACCCGUAAGGGAGGCCACACAGGUGCUGCAUGGCUGUCGUCAGCUCGUGCCGUGAGGUGUUAGGUUAAGUCCUGUAACGAGCGCAACCCCCGGGUCCAGUUACACGUUGUCUGGACCGACUGCCCGUGACAAGCGGGAGGAAGGUGGGGAUGACGUCAAGUCAGCAUGGCCUUGAUCGCCAGGGCGACACACACGCUACAAUGGCCGGCACAAUGGGUUGCCAAGCCGCAAGGCGGAGCCAAUCCAGCCAAAGCCGGUCUCAGUUCAGAUUGGGGGCUGCAACCCGCCCCCAUGAAGUCGGAGUUGCUAGUAACCGCGGGUCAGCUAUACCGCGGUGAAUACGUUCCCGGGCCUUGUACACACCGCCCGU
rnacentral:rRNA from 1 species